UAUAAUUACACCUCUACCAUUAGCAGAGAGCCAGCCAGCUAGCGCCAGGGGGAUACACUGUUACCACUAGCAGAUCCAGACAGCUAGCACCAGCCAGCUAGCAUCAGCCAGCUAGCACCAGGGGGACACAGUGUCACCAUUAGCAGAGAGUCAGUCAGCUAGCGUCAGGGUGACACAACAUCACCACUAGCAGAGAGUCAGUCAGCUAGCACCAGGGGGACACAAAGUCACCAUUAGCAGAGACCAGCCAGCUAGCACCAGGAGGGAGGACAGUCACUAUUAGCAGAGAUCCAGACAGUGAGCGCCAGGUGGACACUUGGCACACACCUUCGAUC